ACCACGACUCUCGACAAUGGAUAUCUCGGCUCUCGUUUCGAUG
rnacentral:rRNA from 1 species